GAUCAUGGCUCAGGACGAACGCUGGCGGCGUGCUUAACACAUGCAAGUCGAGCGGAAAGGCCACUUCGGUGGUACUCGAGCGGCGAACGGGUGAGUAACACGUGAGUAAUCUGCCCUUGGCUUUGGGAUAGCCACCGGAAACGGUGAUUAAUACCGGAUACGACAACUUCUCGCAUGGGAUGGUUGUGGAAAGUUUUUCGGCCAGGGAUGUGCUCGCGGCCUAUCAGCUUGAUGGUGAGGUAAUGGCUCACCAUGGCUUCGACGGGUAGCCGGCCUGAGAGGGUGACCGGCCACACUGGGACUGAGACACGGCCCAGACUCCUACGGGAGGCAGCAGUGGGGAAUAUUGGACAAUGGGCGGAAGCCUGAUCCAGCAACGCCGCGUGAGGGAUGACGGCCUUCGGGUUGUAAACCUCUUUCGCCUGUGACGAAGCGCAAGUGACGGUAACAGGUAAAGAAGCACCGGCCAACUACGUGCCAGCAGCCGCGGUAAUACGUAGGGUGCGAGCGUUGUCCGGAAUUAUUGGGCGUAAAGGGCUCGUAGGCGGUUUGUCGCGUCGGGAGUGAAAACCAGGUGCUUAACACCUGGCUUGCUUUCGAUACGGGCAGACUAGAGGUAUUCAGGGGAGAACGGAAUUCCUGGUGUAGCGGUGAAAUGCGCAGAUAUCANGAGGAACACCGGUGGCGAANGCGGUUCUCUGGGAAUGACCUGACGCUGANGAGCGAAAGUGUGGGGAGCG
rnacentral:rRNA from 1 species